GACAGCAGUCGCCGCGGGAAUACAGAGGGUGCGAGCGUUAAUCGGAUUUACUGGGCGUAAAGCGUGCGUAGGCGGCUGAUUAAGUCGGAUGCGAAAUCCCUGAGCUUAACUUAGGAAUUGCAUUCGAUACUGGUCAGCUAGAGUAUGGGAGAGGAUGGUAGAAUUCCAGGUGUAGCGGUGAAAUGCGUUGAGAUCGGAAAGAACACCAACGGCGAAAGCACUCUGCUGGGCCGACACUGACACUGAGAGACGAAAGCUAGGGGAGCAAAUGGGAUUAGAUACCCCUGUAGUCCCUGUCUCUUAUAC
rnacentral:rRNA from 1 species